CACGGGGGGAGCAAGCGUCGUUCGGAUUCAUUGGGCGUAAAGGGCUCGUAGGUGGCUUUGUAAGUCGGAGGUGAAAUCCCACGGCUCAACCGUGGACACGCCUUCGAAACUGUGAAGCUUGAGGCUGGGAGAGGAAAUCGGAAUUCCUGGUGUAGCGGUGAAAUGCGUAGAUAUCAGGAGGAACACCGGUGGCGAAGGCGCUCAUCUGGCCCGAUACUGACGCUGAGGCGCGAAAGCUAGGGUAGCGAACGGG
rnacentral:rRNA from 1 species